rnacentral:ncRNA from 1 species
UUAACAACGAUGAAGAGGAAGAGUACGCAUACUGCCUUUGUUACAGAGAGCCGGGAAGGAUGAGAACCGGUACAGGGAAUAUGCCGAAGUUCGCCUCGGAGUUGCGUGCUGAAAUCCCAGGAGGGAUGGUAGGUGGCGUCGGAGACCUUCGCCGUUAUUGGAAGGGGGGUAUCGGCUUAGUGCCCGUACUCUGCAAAGUGAUUCGCCGUUAGGCGAAUAACAAAGGUGGUACCGCGAGAGCAGCUCUCGUCCUUUAC